UGGGGAAUUUUCCGCAAUGGGCGAAAGCCUGACGGAGCAAUACCGCGUGAGGGAUGAAAGCCUGUGGGUUGUAAACCUCUUUUCUCGAGGAAGAAACUUUGACGGUACUUGAGGAAUAAGCAUCGGCUAACUCUGUGCCAGCAGCCGCGGUAAUACAGAGGAUGCAAGCGUUAUCCGGAAUCACUGGGCAUAAAGCGUCUGUAGGUUGCUUAACAAGUCUGCUGUUGAAGAUCAGGGCCUAACCCUGGGAAAGCAGUGGAAACUAUUAGGCUUGAGUGUGGUAGAGGUAGAGGGAAUUCCUGGUGUAGCGGUGAAGUGCGUAGAUAUUAGGAAGAACACCAACGGCGAAAGCACUCUACUGGGCCAUAACUGACACUAAGAGACGACAGCUAGGGGAGCAAAUGGG
rnacentral:rRNA from 1 species